ACCUCACGCACAGCCCCCUUCCUCUUUUCUUUUCUUCUUUUCCCUUCUUUCUUCUUUCCUUCAGCUUUCUUCUUUCUUCUCAACCAAACUGAGAGACCGACUGACAGAGAGAGUGACGUGAGAGGGAGAGAUCGAGAGAUGUUGAGAGAGAGAUGAGACUCGGGAGAGGGAGUGAAGAGCGGAUCCGGUGGAUCCGUGUGGGGAGACCCGACGGGGCUGGGGAGAAAUCCGACCCCUCAGGGUUCCGGUUGCUGGUUGGUGGUGCUGGGUCGUCGCCGGCAGAGCCAAAGCCGACGAUUUUCAGCGGAGCCCAAGUGCCGUGACCCGCAACCCGCUUGACCCGUGAAGGGAGAACCCGGGUGGUUCGUGGACCCGUGAGCCAAACCCGAACCUUCCGGAGGUCCGAUCCUCCAUGUAUGACGGUCAGAAGCCGAUUUCCGACUUGCCAAGGUGUUUUCCGGCCUAACCUUGUAGAUCCGUGACCCAGAACCGGUACGACCCGCGACCCAGUGACCCGCAACCCGAAAAUCCAGAAAACCCGGUUCUCUAAGGGCAUUUUCCGGCGACUGCCAGUGGCGUUUUUCGGUGGAUUUGCUAUGAAAAUCCUUGGGGAUAGUGUCCGGAUUGGAGUCUUUUUAAUGGGUUCUCCAAUGUAGAGUCCGAGUCAUGGUCCAAUGCAGCCAAGAUGAUGUUCUUUUGGCUGCAGGUAUUCCGGUCGUGGUUGAUAGCAUUGUAGAAGGGUAUUUUGGAUGUUAUGACUGAAACACGCCGCAACGGUCGUAAUUGGUGGACCACGGAUUGUCCACUUGUUUAUAGGUUUGGUUUAUGGCUUGUGACGUUUGUGUCACUUGUUAUUGUACAAAACCAUUUAUAUCACUUAUUUAAUUCGUGGAAAGAUUUAAUCAUAUA